rnacentral:rRNA from 1 species
GACGAACCGUGCGAACGUUAUUCGGAAUCACUGGGCUUAAAGCGCGUGUAGGCGGAUGGGGACGUCGGUCGCUGAAAUCCCCCGGCUCAACCGGGGAACUGGCCCCGAAACGCCCCGUCUGGAGGAAGAUAGAGGUAAGCGGAACUUACGGUGGAGCGGUGAAAUGCGUUGAUAUCGUAAGGAACACCUGUGGCGAAAGCGGCUUACUGGGUCUUUUCUGACGCUGAUGCACGAAAGCUAGGGGAGCAAACGGG